GCCACCCCAAUUCCUUACCCAUCAAAUCUGAACAAUAGCUUGAGUGGCUAUAAAAGGAGGGAAAGUAAAACUGAAUCAGACUUGGAUGAUUUUGUGACAUACAAGUUAGUUUCAAACAAAA
rnacentral:snoRNA from 1 species